rnacentral:rRNA from 1 species
GACGGGGCCGCACAAGCGGUGGAGUAUGUGGUUUAAUUCGAUGCAACGCGAAGAACCUUACCUGGCUUGACAUCCCGGGAAUUUCCUGGAAACAGGAGAGUGCUUUCAUUAGAGAGAACCUGGAGACAGGUGCUGCAUGGCUGUCGUCAGCUCGUGUCGUGAGAUGUGGUAAGUCCGCAACGAGCGCAACCCUUGCCUUUAGUUGCCAGCAGUUCGGCUGGGCACUCUAAAGGGACUGCCGGUGUCAAACCGGAGGAAGGUGGGGAUGACGUCAAGUCCUCAUGGCCUUUAUGGCCAGGGCUACACACGUACUACAAUGGCCGGUACAAAGGGCAGCGACAUUGCGAGAUGGAGCGAAUCCCGAAAAGCCGGUCUCAGUCCGGAUUGGAGUCUGCAACUCGACUCCAUGAAGUUGGAAUCGCUAGUAAUCGUGGAUCAGCAUGCCACGGUGAAUACGUUCCCGGGCCUU